CCUACGGGUGGCAGCAGUGAGGAAUAUUGGUCAAUGGGCGGAAGCCUGAACCAGCCAAGUAGCGUGCAGGAUGACGGCCCUACGGGUUGUAAACUGCUUUUAUACGGGAAUAACGCGCCUUACGUGUAGGGCUUUGCAUGUACCGUAUGAAUAAGGACCGGCUAAUUCCGUGCCAGCCGCCGCGGUAAUACGGAAGGUCCGGGCGUUAUCCGGAUUUAUUGGGUUUAAAGGGAGCGUAAGCCGCAUGUCAAGCGUACUGUGAAAUGUCCGGGCUCAAACCUGGCCUUGCAGCGCGAACUGGCGUGCUUGAGUGCGCGGAAAGCAGGCGGAAUUCGUGGUGUAGCGGUGAAAUGCUUAGAUAUGACGAAGAACCCCGAUUGCGAAGGCAGCAUGCUGCAGCGGAACUGACGCUGAUGCUCGAAAGCGCGGGUAUCGAACAGGAUUAGAUACCCGAGUAGUC
rnacentral:rRNA from 1 species